GACGAACGCUGGCGGCGUGCUUAACACAUGCAAGUCGAACGGAAAGGCCCUGCUUUUGUGGGGUGCUCGAGUGGCGAACGGGUGAGUAACACGUGAGUAACCUGCCCUUGACUUUGGGAUAACUUCAGGAAACUGGGGCUAAUACCGGAUAAGAGCUACUGCUGCAUGGUGGGGGAUGGAAAGGUUCGGCGGUUGGGGAUGGACUCGCGGCUUAUCAGCUUGUUGGUGGGGUAGUGGCUUACCAAGGCUUUGACGGGUAGCCGGCCUGAGAGGGUGACCGGCCCCAUUGGGACUCAGAGACGACCCAGACUCCUACGGGAGGCAGCAGUGGGGAAUUUUGCACGAUGGGCCGAAGCAUGAUGCAGCAACGCCGGGUGCGGGAUCUCGGCCUUCGGGUUGUAACACGCUUCCGCCUGUGACGAAGCGUGAGUGACGGUAAUGGGUAAAGAAGCACCGGCUAACUACGUG
rnacentral:rRNA from 1 species